rnacentral:lncRNA from 1 species
AUAUUUUCCUGCUUUGAUCCUCUCUCUAGCUGCCUUUUGAAGGAGUUCAGUCACCCCCCCCCCCCGCCCCCCAUCCAAUGACUCCUCUGUGUUAGCUCUUCCUUAACCGAAUCAAACCAAACCUCCGCGAGUGCAGACCAGCUCCGCUCCCUGCCUGCAACACAGGCUUAUAUUUUUGGAUCCAGGAUGUCCUGUGGAUUGGACGGCUGCCAGGCCUUCAGAUGCUUGGCGUCUGGGAUGGCGUGCGAUGACGUCGGGCUGACUUCUAGGGACCCUGCGCCUCUGCUGUUGUUUACCAGCUUCAAGUUCCAUCUGGUCUUGCUGACAGGAACCUUGACACCAUCUGCAAAAAUUGGAAUAAAACAAUUUUGGUCUGAAGGAAAGGAAAAUUGCAAGUUGAAGCUUAUUUGGGAAAUGCCAUCUUCACUGCUUUGGAAGGAAAAAUGGAAGGGGCUGUUUGUUAAUAUACGUUCAUGUAUUUGGUGAACUUCUUACAUGGACACGUCUAGAGGUGUGACCUUUGGGUGUACUGGCUCUUUUUCUCUUCGAUCUGGUAAACAGAGACUGCAGGAAAUCUGCAGGAUUCCGGGAUGGGCUUUGAUGAUGAAUCGACAUGCGGUUAGUGUUUAUACCUAUCAAGGCCACCUCUUAACACCGUAGUUGGGGUCAAUGUGCUUUGCUGGUGAUCAUGGCAUGUAAGAAUUAUAGUCAUGUGCUUCUCUUAUUAUUACCCAAAGGGUUCACUUGUGUAUGACAUAAACCUCCACAGAUUCCUGUCAUCUCACCCAGGACAAGGGGGUCAUAAUAACAUCCCAGUAAGAGCUGAAAUUGACACAGGGCUCAGUGCCCAGUGUUGCUCUGAACACUUUACAAAUAUGAACUUCAUUCUCACAGCCACCCUAAAGGGUGCUGUUUGCUGCGUUUGUAAGCACUGUGUUCCAGCCCCCCUACUGACGACAUUGCCUAAGUUAUCCUAUUUAAUCCUCAGAAUGAUCCUAGGAAGUAGGACCUUUAUUAUUCUCAUGUUGUGUGUGGGACACGGAAGUUCAGAGAGAGGAAACUAGCAGUUCAAGGCUGUGUGGCUCGUCAAUCUUGUGUGUGUUUGGGGUUUAUACCCGGGCAGCUGAUGCUGGAGUCCACACUCUUGAGCAAUAUACUUAGACCUCCUGCAUCUGAUUUUGUUCUUGAAGCAACUUGGGAAGUAGGCCAGACAGGUAUAAUUUUCUUCCCUUUAUUACAAUCCAGUAAAAUGAAGCCCAGCGAGUGGAAAUGACUUUUCUGUGACCACAGAACUCAUUCGUGUGCAUUUAUAAAUAGCAGAACUGGCGAUUAUUGGGAAGCCUUGCUGCGGAAAUCAAGCGACCUUUGAGGCUGUUUUGGUUUGUGCAAAGAGCAGUGGGCUUGGAGUUAAGAGAUGUGGGUUUAAAUCCCGAGGCUUCUACCUACUUGACCUUGAGAAUUCAGCUUCUGAGGCUUUGUGUCUGCACUCAGAAAAUGGGAGAAGUAAUUCCUCCUUCACGCGGUGUGUGAGGAUGAUAAUAAAGUAAUUACAUCCAAGUGUUCACCCCAGUAGUUGUUUAAUAUAUGUUCUUAAAAUUGCCCACAUAAGUCAUCAAAGGGUAGAGCCAUGGAUUGAGGGAUGGACAUGGAGACAAAGGACGUUUGGCUCCUCAUACCCUCACGGGCAUGUGGAAAUGAGUCCUACACGUGGGGAGGAACUUCCAGAGAAGUCUGCAGUGGGUGGGCAGGACUUUCUCCACCUCUGAACACGGACAGAAUGCCUGCUCUAGGUUAUUGAAGAAUUUGGACUUUAUAUAGGUGUGGCAGCUUUGCUUUUGUGAUAUGUUUUAUGGUAAAAACUGACUACAGUGCUCCUAUGUAGCAAGGAACACCUCGAGACAAAGUUUUUUUCUGAUAGUCCAUUAAGUACAGUUAUGUCAAGGCAAUGAUUUUACAAAUAGAAUCAUUGUCUCGGUUACAGUGAUGCCUUGAUCAGAGUGGUUUUAGGGUCUUAUCUCAAGUGAAUUUGAAAUGUUGGGCUUUUCUUAAUCAUCCCAGCAGGAAGUAAUUUCCCACCCGAACAAUGGAUGAUGAAUGAUGCCUGAACUUAUCAUCCAUGCCAUUUCUUGGAAUGUAGCAUUUCUGGUUUGAAAAUGAUUAUUUGUGUAUUUUUUCUCUUCAGAUUGAGAGCCCACAUAUUCUUAAAAACACGACAUCUCUUACUACUGUACUUGAAUAUAUGAUAAAUGAAU